AGUCGAUUGAAUUUAAAGAUAUAGUCAAGAUUGGGCACACUCAUACUCAAGAUGCUACACCUUUGACUCUCGGACAGGAGUUUAGUGGGUAUACUACACAACUGAAGUAUAGUCUUGAUCGUGUGAUUACCAUUUUUCCGCGUAUGUAUCAGUGUGUGUGGCUGCUAUCUAAUGCUAUUGUUUACUUUAUUUGAGGUGUUAAUUGAUUUGGUUGCAAUUUCAGAGCUAUAAAAGGAGACGUUACUCAUCAGAAAAGGGCUUCACAUGGUUUUUGUUUUAGUUUUACUAUUCAACACUAGUUUUUCAGUUGUAUUUUAUUAUUUCUUUUGAAACUUUUGGCUACUAGAGAGAUAAGAAUUCUAUUCUAAAGCAUGUUUUCUUUGGAAUCGAAAGCUUAGUUUUCUUUAGCAUACCCUUCUUUUCAAUGAAAGUCACCGUACCUUUAAAUUUUCAUUCCCAUAAUUUUAUCCCAAUUCCCUUUAUUUGAAAUGCUGCUACCUAUUAUUUUUAUUGAUUCCAAUUGAGUUGCUGUUUUGCACAUCUGUUCUGAUACGUGUUUCAAUUCUAUAAGUUUUCUUGUUACUGCACUUAUUUAUUAUAAUUCAUUCAACUUCAUAUUGCUUGCUAUUCUAAUUGAGUUUCUUUUCCGGCUGCUAUUACUACACAUAUAUUCCAAAUCCAUUUGGCUGCCGUAUUCAAUUGUUGCUGUCGUUUUAUUGUUUUGUCCCGUAUUCCAUACCUAUAACCAGACCAUGUUGCAUGUGGCUCUUCUGUUUCGAUACCAAUCUCUUUGAAUUGCUAGUUUAAUUUGCUUUAAUUAAAGUUCAAGUUGUUGCUUCUGUUAGGUGCUGCUGCUACCAAUUCAAUUAACUUUGAUUGAAUUGCUUUGGUACGCUGUACUACUUUCUUUUAAUUUGUUUUAAUUAAAGUUCAUGUUGGUGCUUCUGUUAGGUGCUGCUGUUAUCAAUUCAAUCAACUUUGAUUGAAUUGCUUUGGUACGCUGUACUACUUCACGCUGUACUACUAUUGAAAGACGAUGCACAAAUGGAGGUUAAGAAUGUACUUAUUCCAAAUGAUGAACCUCAAAAACUAGUAGGCAAGUAGCCAAGUCUCUAACAAUAAGCCUCUAGGGAUCUACUUGGGAUUGGGCGAGCAUGCUUUGAGAUGUUGAGGCCCUUGGGUUAUAGUCUUUUGGCAGAAAUUGCACAUCAUGUUUGGCAAGAUCUGUUUCAAUCACAUGUAUGCUAUUCCAUAGUGGUUAUUUUUGACAAAUAUAUCAGAAAGUAAUUAUAGUUUAAUUGCGCAAUAAGUUACAAUCAUGACUUGCGUGACAUUAUUGAUUAUUUUCAUGUUAGGAACUCAAGAAACCUUAUUGUAUCACUUGUUUGUAUUUUAUGUAAAUGUAAAAUUCAUAUUUUAGUUUA